CCUACGGGAGGCAGCAGUGAGGAAUAUUGGUCAAUGGACGCAAGUCUGAACCAGCCAUGCCGCGUGCAGGAAGACGGCUCUAUGAGUUGUAAACUGCUUUUGUACGAGGGUAAACGCAGAUACGCGUAUCUGUCUGAAAGUAUCGGACGAAUAAGGAUCGGCGAACUCCGUGCCAGCAGCCGCGGUAAUACGGAGGAUUCAAGCGUUAUCCGGAUUUAUUGGGUUUAAAGGGUGCGUAGGCGGUCGGAUAAGUUAGAGGUGAAAUCCCGAGGCUCAACUUCGGAAGUGCCUCUGAUACUGUUCGGCGAGAGAGUAGUUGCGGUAGGCGGAAUGUAUGGUGUAGCGGUGAAAUGCUUAGAGAUCAUACAGAACACCGAUUGCGAAGGCAGCUUACCAAGCUACUUCUGACGUUGAGGCACGAAAGCGUGGGGAGCAAACAGGAUUAGAUACCCCAGUAGUC
rnacentral:rRNA from 1 species